rnacentral:rRNA from 1 species
GACGAACGCUGGCGGCGCGCUUAACACAUGCAAGUCGAGCGAAGCGGCGGACUGGUGAGUAACACGUGAGUAACCUGCCUUAGACCUUGGGAUGGCCUCUGGAAACCGGGAUUAAUACCAAAUGGUCUAAGAUGGACUCGCGUACCAUUAGCUAGUUGGCGAGGUAACGGCCCACCAAGGCGACGAUGGGUAGCCGGCGUGAGAGGGUGAGCGGCCACCUUGGAAGUGAGAAACGGUCCAGACUCUACGGGAGGCAGCAGGGGGGAAUAUUGCACAAUGGAGGGAACUCAGAUGCGGCGACGCCGCGUGAACGAAGUAGGGUGUCGAGUCGUAAAGUUAUGUUAUAUGGGAAGCGGUACCAUAAGAAAAAGCCCCGGCUAACUACGUGCCAGCAGCCGCGGUAAUUC